GUGCCAGCAGCCGCGGUAAUACCGGCAGCACGAGUGAUGACCGAUAUUAUUGGGCCUAAAGCGUCCGUAGCCGGCCAAACAAGUCCGUUGGGAAAUCCACGCGCUCAACGCGUGGGCGUCCGGCGGAAACUGUUUGGCUUGGGGCCGGAAGACCUGAGGGGUACGUCCGGGGUAGGAGUGAAAUCCUGUAAUCCUGGACGGACCACCGUUGGCGAAAGCGCCUCAGGAAGACGGACCCGACGGUGAGGGACGAAAGCUAGGGUCUCGAACCGGAUUAGAUACCCGUGUAGUCC
rnacentral:rRNA from 1 species